rnacentral:lncRNA from 1 species
UCUCAAGGUCGCCUUCUUCAUCGUCUUCUGUAAUUGUUUCUUACGAUCUGUCAAGUAAUAAGUAGCAGGAGGUGGCACAGUGGGUUUGUGAAAGUGAUUGCUUUGCGCUCACACUUGGGGCUGUGGGGGGGUUGCCUACGUAUGGUGUGGUAUUGCUGCAGAUGUGGUGGUGAUGUUUGGGUGAUGAAGAAAUAUGGGGUUAAAGACUCAUGAAGUAAACUGGUGAGUAUCAAGGCUUGGAGGAGUAUGUUGAGAAACACUCGGAAAGAAGACUUUAAAAUCUCUCGUGAAGAAGGCUGCAAAAUUAUAAAAUAAAGAAUCGUUUCAAUUCUCUUAAAAAGAACAAGGUAUCACUCGCAAAAAAGUCAAAACACAAUAUAUAUAUAUAUAUUGUGGACAGGAAAGAGUAAAUGCACUUAAUAAAAAAUAUAUAGUAAAAUAAGAAAUAAAAUUAGGAUAAAAUGAAUUCAUUGCAUAUAAAUGGGCUGCCUUAUAUAAGCAUACAAUCAAUAUAAAUGAAAGUCAUACUCCUUUAUUCUCUACCACCACUAGCUUCUUUACUAACCAAGUCAUGUCAUUUUAUUCUCUACUACUAAUUUCUCCACUAAUGAGUAUUCAACAAAUCUAUAAAGAAUAUGAAACCAAAACCUACUAACUUCUCCACUAAUGAUAAAAACAAACUCUAACAUCUAUUUUAAUAAAUUAAAAUAAAAUAAACAAUAAAUUUGAUCAAAUAAAGAACACGUGCUGGUUGGUGUUGUAACUUUAACAGAGUAUACAGAACCUAUGUGAAUUUCCAGAAACAGUGAGAUAAACUCGAUCAAAUAAAGAUCACGUGCUGGUUGGAGUUAAGAAUCUGGGUUAGCUGCUCUCUACAGUUCUAAAUAUGAUGCAUUUCAGUAUCUUUUGAUUGAUGGGUUAAGCAGCAGUCAUGAUGCAAAGCUGUGUGUUGAGAGUUUGGUUUCUCCUUGCGGGGUAAUUGGGAUAAUGAUUUUUUUCUGAAAACCUUUUCCCUUUUCUGAUGUUGUAUUGAUCUUUGAUUGUUAUUUUAUCUAAUAAAGCUCGGAAUCCUUUCUUAUAUUUAGAGGUUUCUAUUAACAUCCAAGUGAACAAAAUAGAGAACAGCUAUCUUUUUGUUUGCCUAAGAAGAACUGGGCUGCAAGCAGUCCAGACUUCCUGCAAAACAACAUGCAACGCAAACUAAAUCCACUUUCAACAUAAAAACAUUUUAUCUCACUGGUUUUUAACAUUUUUUCUACAAUUAAACAAAGUUUUGGUUUGAUGAAUGCCAUGGCUCUGCUAAUGAAAGCCGCUGGAUAUCAAUUUUCCAGAGUCUGAUCAGUCAUCUCCUCUCCGUGUUUGGACAAUUUGUCAUAUGUAAUGGUGGACUUUCUAGUGUCUUAAUCUUUUAAAUAACUAGCUAUUAUACAAAACCAACAUGGUACUCACUAUAAAUGCUUACUUGCAGUACUGAAAGGAAGAUCAUAUUAGGCAGUUAUCUAUCUGAUGCCAAGGAAAAUGGUAUGAAGGAAUUUAUGGAAGCUGCACCACUACCGUAGUUCACUAUAUUCAGAAAGAACAAAUUAUAGUGCACAAAUAUAGUCGGAGAAGAAGAAAUUGAUAUAUUUUAUUAACCAAGACUAUAACAUAAUAUAUCAGUAUACAACCAUAUCGAGAGUACACAAUUAAAUGCAACGAAUGACUGAUCUUUACACUUCUCAACAUCUCAAGCAUUCUCCCCCACUUCCCAAGUUGUUUCCGCUGGUCGAGGACAUGAUGCUUUAAGAAAUGGAACAUCAUCCAUCAACAAUGAAUUGAUCAUCUUGAUUGUCUCCCUCAACCCUGGUGUCUCCAUGAACCAUCCCAUUCACAUGAUGCAAACUCUGCAUCAUUUGAGAAAGAUAAUGGUUGCUUGCACCAGUAUGGUCGGAGAGUCCAGCUGGGUGCCCAGCCCACUGGGAAAACAUCCCGAUUAUCUGGCUGGUAAGGUUUUGCUGCUCAUGAAGAAUCCGGGUCUGCAUCUGUCCCAUUUCUGCACGGUGCUGAUUCAACAUAUCAUCAAUCCUCUUCUUCCAUUCCAUCCUCCGCCUACUCAUCCUCUCUUCCCAUUCCCUCUCUUGAAUCAACUCUUCUUCUCUUCUUCUUCUUUCCCUUUCUUCGAACUCCUUCUCCAUAGCUUCCCAGUCCUGCAUCCUCUGACUCUUCAACUUUUCCCAAGCUUUCUCUCUUUCUUCUCUCUCCUUUUCCCUCUGAUCCAAUUUCCGUUCCCAUUCUUGCUCACGUUCCAACCAAAGGCUCUCCCUCUUCUGCCUGUCCCGCUCUCUCUCCACAUCACGUUGCUCAAAUCUACCCUCCAUUUCCCGCAACUGCCCCAACUGAUUGGCAAGAAACCCAAGUGCUUUCUUCUCCAACCCCUUCAACACCUUCCUCUUCUUCUUGAGAUUAGGACCACCGGGAUCCACUUCUUCAUACACAAAACCAUCUUCACCAUCCUCCUUCACCCUAUCAUUACCAUUAUAGUUUUCAUCUCCUUCUUCACCAUCAUACUCAAACCCCAAUCCCAGCACCCCAUUUUCUGCAACAUCAAUCCCUGCAAAAUCCCCAUCCCCGGAAUUAGCCAUUUGCCCAAACUCCACCAUAUCUAUCCCUCUUUCUCCGCCAACAAAACCCCCAUCAUUCUCUCUAUCCUCGUUUGCCCCAGCUACCAUAUCAUGACUAUUAUUACCAUUAAUACUAUAAGAAGCAGGAACAUCCCCAAAAACAUCCUUGUACAGCAAAAAAUUCGCCCAGUGAGUCAGCCCCUCUACCCAAUCAAACUCAUCCCCAUUACACUCGACACCCGAAUUCUCAACUGACAGGUCGGGCUUCUUGAUCUUUUGCUUCACAAGCAAGUACUGGUGCCUCAUAUUUUGCACCUUUGUGGAAACAUCUUUCCAAGUCCAUUGCCAGGGGAACGCGAUAGGAUCGCGGAGAUGGUGCACGGAAUUCACAUGGACAGCGAUGGGUUUAUACUUUUUCUCGCGUGUUUUCAUUUUUGCGAGAGUUCCAUCAGAGACCAUCUCCCCAUAUUUGUCAAUUAGGGUUUUCUCCUCAACCUCAGUCCAUUUCUUUCUUCUCGGUGGCAUCAUUUGAUACCGAUAUCAACAGCAGUACCGAUACCAAUACGGACUUCACCUACAAAACUAAUUUCGAGACCCUCGCAUAUACAAUCGUAUGGCAUCGAAGAGAAAUCCCAAAACCAAACCAACCCAGAUCAAAAAGUCUUCAAAAUCAAGAACCAAGAGUCCGGGACCUUACCUUGACCAAAAGACUGCAGAAGAAGUGAUGAGUGAAGCUAAGGACUUUGUGUGGAUUGGUGGAGAGCAAGGCGGUGAACACAGAGAGAAUUUUCCAAGAAAAACCGAGAGAGAAAGUGAUGGAAUCUAUCGGAAAGUGAUCUGUGUCGUCGAGUUUAAGACUUUCCAGUCUUGAAAAAAAGCGAGAGGAAAGCGACGAAAAAGUUGGGUUAAAAAAAAAAAAAAAACAUGAAUUUGCAAAAAAGGACAAGAAGGGAACAGUCACCGGGUUCUGUUUACCCCGGAGGACAGUGAAUCCGGCGUUUUUACAGUGCCGGGAAAUCAAAGUCGAUGGCAGAAUUUGAUUGGUUGAAUGGUAAAACGUCGGCGCAAUCCGGAGAUUUAAGACCUAUUUGAACGAUGUUUUAGUAAAAAU